UCAAACCCACGACCUCAUGGUUCCUAGUCGGAUUUGUUUCCACUGCACCAUGACGGGAAUGCCACUUCGCUCUUCUUUAGAAGAAAAAACAACAUUUCCAACAAGUCCCUUCGAUUCCUGGUGGCAGUCCGACUCGCCUGCUCUCCAGCAUGAGGCGAGUGCUGUGGCAGAGGGGCACAAGCUCGCUUUCUCUGUUUCUCCUGAAGAUCCUCUCUCUGCUGGAUCAUGAAUACCGUGAAAGCUCUGGUUCCUUAAACCAGAAUGUCCUGCUUCUGGGGUCAGUGUUAAUUUGUCCUUUCUGCAGCAGCCUUUAAAAUGGUCUUACUCUUUAGAAAUCCCCCUCUGGGGCUCUAUCCUGUGCCUAUGACUCGAUAUAUAGAAGAAAGCUUUAUGUAGAAAGAUGUCCUGUGUAGUCUGAUUUGUAAUAGGAGAUGCUAAAUGAUAAACAAUGCUACAUUUCAGUCACUUUCAGGCAUAAACAUCUGUUUACUAAAAGUGAUCAAAUAAGCUGCUCUGUUUUAUAUGUGAUUGGUUCUCAACUGUGCAAAACAGUCAAAUGGAAACACAAAGGAUAAAACAGAGGCUGGGGGAGUUGGCAGGGGCCAUCUCUGGAUUGUGGUUCAUUUGUUCGUUAUUCGUUCCUUCAGCAAAUAGUUCUGGAACAUCUGUGUCAGGCAGUAUGCGAGGCUCUACAGAUACAAUGAUGAAUGAGACGGAUGUAACCUGCCCUCAUGAGCUGACAGUCUUGAGAACUAUGUAAUUUGUAGCAAAGGUGUUUGUGUCACAAUCGCCACGGGAUGCUUUUUAAAAAUUCACAUAUCCCUCACUUUAUUCCUGAAAAGUGUGGUUUACUGAGUCUGGGAUGUGGUUAGGGCAUAAGAUACUUUUUUUUUUUUUCUUUUUACACCUUCACUUGCGUUAUACGGAAGCCCCUGGGCUAGGGGUCUAACUGGAGGUGCAGGUGCUGGCCUAUGCCACAGCCACAGCAACACCUGCGCAUUGCCAGAUCCUUAACCUACAGAGGGAGGCUAGGGAUCUAACCUGCAUCCUCAUGGACACUAUGUUGGGUUCUUAACCCAGUGAGCCACAAUGGGAACUCCAUAAUAUACUUUUUAAAAAAGCUCCCACAGUGAUUCUGAAACAUAACCAGUAUGAUAAAUACUCAACUAGAACAGCACUCUCCAACUUUUAUCAUUAUAUAUCCCUUCUGUAGCAAAACAAAUCAAAUAAAAUUAGCAUUCCUUCACAAUAUAUAAAUAUUUAUAAAUGCUACACCUUUACUAGUCCAUUAGUAUAUUAUAUAUAUUAUAAAACAUUGUUGGAGAUUGUUAUUUAAGAAGAAUUAUAUUAAACAUACUAUAUAAAAAUAAAAGUUUUACUGUUUUCUUCCCUGAACCCCUUGGAUCCCUCUGUGAGUCCCAAGUGGCUCAUUUGGAAAUUGCUUCUCUGGUCUAAAGGAAAAUGUGGCUGUGAGUGGCAAACAAAGAUACUGCUUAUUUGGUAGCACAGCCUCAAGGGUGUUCAAAGACUAAUGCAAACAUGAGUCAUUAAAAGUAGAAUUAGACAUGCAAAUAGACUUUCGACAUUAAAAUGGAAUUAGAACAACAGUGCAUGUCUUUCUUACCUCGGUGGCUAAUGAAUAAUCAGAAAUCAAUAGACAGGAGAAUUCCUUAUGGGGUCUCAGGGCCCUAAAAUCAUCUUAACCAAGCCGUAACAACAAGAGCAGGGAAGAAAGAAUCAUGCAGACUGAAAAAUGAACAGAAAGGUUUAUACAAGGCCUGCGGACUUGCAGCCUGAAGUGAAUCAGGGCCAGGCUGGAGCUGUGGGAUUCCGAAAAGGGGUUGGGGCUGGACUGUUGAGCUGAGAAGCCCAGAAGGCCCUAAGACUUGGUUGGGCCUACACGGUAGUUCGGGACUUGCUGCAGAGACCCCAUUCGAUGCAAGGCCAACUUCUCUACUGAAGAGGGCAGCAGAGAGCAAGGAAUGGGCCCUUACUGCUCUUAGACUCUCAGAAAGCUAGCCAAUCAUCACCUCCCUUACUUGCUGGCAGUGGCCUAAACAGGAAGGACCAGAAAGAAAGGCCAGGAGAUACAUCUGUUCCCAGACUAAGACAUUUCAAAGCAUUUGGAGGUCAACCUCUAGUCUAUAAUCUAGUGGCCCUGCUGCCAGGGAUAGAGGAGGCACAGGUGGUUGUAGAAGUCCCAAAAGGAGAUGAUAGAUAAUGAGGGAAACCUGGGAGAUGCUGGGAGCGACCACUGUAGUUUAGGAAAACCGCCAGAACAAGGCAGGCUUGCUUAACAAGUGGAGGUGCUAGAACUGCCUCAGGUCUUUGGGUGGGGGAUGGGAUGAGGUCUGCAUUUAGAUUCAGACCAAGGGCUAGAGUUUGAAGACCGCCCUUCAGCUGAUUGGAAUACACACCUUACUGGAUGUUAAGGAGGAGCUGCUACUCCCAAAAAGGAAGAGGCGGGCCUUUCCAGCCCCCGUGCCCCUAGGAUGAUAAGACUGGCCCACCGGAGCCUCAGGGCAGAGCUUCCUUCCUGCCCGCUUGCAUCUCUUAUUAAGCGUCCUAUCCUAUUAAAUCUGUUUCAUGCCUCUCACCUUGUCUCUUGCUGAAUUCCUCCUGCACGGAGGCGUAAAGAACCUGAACCUUAGUGAAUCCAGACACAGGGUGAGUAACUCGGAUUUAAAACUGUGGGUUUAAGUCCCAAUCUGGCUUUAGGCUGGGUUCGAGUCCCAAUCUGGGGGAUUUUGGCUGGGCUUAAGUCCCAGCACGUGGGUUCAAGUCCCAAUCUGUGUUCUGGCUAGGUUCAGGCCAUUAGUGCUGUCAGUUUCACUGCCACCGUGAUUGUGUUUUCCAUCUGUUAGCCUUGUGAGGGUUAAAUGCCUUCUCAUACACGCCUCGUUCCCUUUCAGAGUGAGCUCGUGAGGGAAGGGGGAUUGUAGGAUGCUUUCAGAGACAAGGAAACAGAUCCACAAAGAUGUGAACACUGACCCAAACUUCCAGAGCCAGUUCUUGACAGAGUUUAACUUUUCCUGCUGAACUCCCCUUUCUCAGAGUUGGACAAUUUCUCAAGGACCUGUACAUUCCGUAUGAAAAUGAAGAUUUGGGGGAAGUUCCUGCUGUGGCUCAGUGGUUAAUGAAUCUGACUAGGAACCAUGAGGUUGCAGGUUCAAUCCCUGGCCUAGCUCAGUGGGUUAAGGAUCCGUCGUUGCUGGAAGCUGUGGUGUGGGUCGCAGACACGGCUCGGAUCCCGCAUGUCUGCCAGCGGCUACAGCUCUGAUUACACCCCUGGCCCGGGAACCUCCAUUUGCCAAGGGAGCGGCCCUAGAAAAGGCAAAAAGAAAAAAAGACCAAAAAAAAAAAAAAAAUGAAAAUUUGGGUUUCCAUGGUGAUGAUAAUCUGUAUCAGUUACUAGAAACAGAUUCUGAAUCGUCUAGGGGACCACCCUUCAGUCGUGCUCUGGUCAUCAGAAUCCUGUGUUUAUCCUUUGAUUUGUGUUUAUUACUGAGUUUAUACCAAGUAAAAUUCAAUUGACUUCCUGGUGUGCUACAUCCCUGAGAGAGAUUUUUUUGCAUCAGGCUGAACCCAGAAAUGUGAGCGAAUUGAAUCAUCUCAGAACACACCAAACAUAGACAUGUCAGACUAAGAAGGAACUUGCCCCAUAACGUCCAUGUUUACAUUUCCAGUGGAUGUGCCCUGUGGUCUCAGUCUUUGAAAAAUCUCAAUUUUCAACCAUUCAAUUAACAAUAAUUUUAGUAGUCAGUAUGCCUUGAAGAAUGGCUCUGUUCUGGAGUGUAACAAUAAUUGGAUUAGUUGCCCACUGAAUGCAGACACAUAUCUUCAAAUGAAAGAGAAAACUUUACAGAGUUAUCAAGUGACAUGGGCAUUGCUCACUUGCAGAGUUUGUGGCUAAGUGAAAGGUCUCCUUCUCCUAAACUACAGUCAAAGCUGGGGUAUGUUAAUACCUCUGGGUCGUGUUCAAACUGAUGUUUGGGGGGAGCUAUAUUUUCAAAAUCACAACAGAGAAAAAGUCUUAAUAUAGGACCAGCACUGAGCUAACACUUUGCUGCUAUCAAUCCCAAACUGGCAAUUGAGUUUCUGCCAGACAAUAUCAUCCACUUACCUGUCACAUUCAUGUAAUAUCAUGAAUUUGCAUUUUAUUGCCUUUAUGGUAUCUGAUUUUAGUUUUGUUCUACAGUUAGCAGUUAUCUAUAAGAAUGGAUUUGGAGUUCCUGUCGUGGCGCAGUGGUUAACGAAUCUGACUAGGAACCAUGAGGCUGUGGGUUCGAUCCCUGCCCUUGCUCAGUGGGUUAAGGAUCCAGCGUUGCCAUGAGCUGUGGUGUGCGUCGCAGACGCAGCUUGGAUCCUGCAUUGCUGUGGCUCUGGUGUAGGCCAGCGGCUACAGCUCUGAUUGGACCCCUAGCCUGGGAACCUCCAUAUGCUGCGGGAGCGGCUCAAAAAAAAGGCAAAAAGACAAAAAAAAAAAAAAAAAAAAAGAAUGGAUUUUAUUUUACUUUAUCUGCUUUUUAUGGCCACAGGUACAGCAUAUGGAGGUUCCCUGGCUAGGAGUCAAAUCAGAGCUACAGCUGCCAGCUUAUGCCACAGCCACAGCAACAUCAGAUCCAAGCCACACCUUCAAUCUACGCCACAGCUCACAGCAGUGCUGGAUCCUUAACCCACUGAGUGAGGCCGGGGAUUGAACUCAUGUCCUCAUGGAUCCUAGUCAGGUUCGUUAACCGC
rnacentral:lncRNA from 1 species